rnacentral:lncRNA from 1 species
AGGACUUCUGACUCAAACUCCACUUCUAGAGUUCAGGUUCAGCACUUCCAGCCCGGCGACUUGGUGCUGAUUAAGACUUGGGAAGAAGACAAGCUCCACCCAAACUGGGAAGGUCCCUACCAAGCGCUCCUGACCACUGAGACAGCUGUGUGAACAGUGGAACGGGGAUGGAAGAAUUGUCUGAAGAGGAUGAGUGAUCACCUUCCAGGUGGAGGGAAGGGGUCUCAUUAUGUUGCCCAGGCUGG